CUCUCUUUGUCUGUGCACAGAUGAGUGGCCAACUCUGGAGCCCAGGAUGUUGCUUCCCAGUCUGGUGGUGAAUCCUCCACAAUCUGAGCUGGCCCUCUGGUGCCCAAAGCAGACUCCUGGGGUCCCUGUAUUGGGCACUUACCCACUUCCUGCUGGCCGCAGCAUGACACCUGAUGCUCCUAGAGCAGCCAACUGAAUUCCAGAAGAAAGGCUUCAGUGGUGUGUUUUCCAGAAGGAACCUGGCUCCUAGGAUUAACAAACACAUAUUUGAUGGCUGGAGCUUCAGCAGCUAUGUUGGUGCGGAUAGAGAAAAAAAGCCAAGAAAAUCGUAAAGAUCUCUCUUGACAUCCUCAAGCAACUAACAAAAGCCAGCAACUGCCUACUUCCUUAUGUCUCCAUACGUGGAAAAAAUAAACUCUUUUGUGUUUAAAUCCCCA
rnacentral:lncRNA from 1 species